UACGUAGGGGGCUAGCGUUGUCCGGAAUCCUUGGGCGUAAAGAGCGUGUAGGCGGCCCGGUAAGUCCGCUGUGAAAGUCGGGGGCUCAACCCUCGAAUGCCGGUGGAUACUGUCGGGCUAGAGUGCGGAAGAGGCAAGUGGAAUUCCCGGUGUAGCGGUGAAAUGCGCAGAUAUCGGGAGGAACACCAAUGGCGAAGGCAGCUUGCUGGGACGGUACUGACGCUGAGACGCGAAAGCGUGGGGAGCAAACAGG
rnacentral:rRNA from 1 species